AUUGAACGCUGGCGGCAGGCUUAACACAUGCAAGUCGAACGAGUGGCGGACGGGUGAGUAAUGCUUGGGAAUCUAGCUUAUGGAGGGGGAUAACUACGGGAAACUGUAUCUAAUCCCGCAUACCAUAGUAUGAGCACAAGUGGGAUUAGGUAGUAGGUGAGGUAAAGGCUCACCAAGCCGACGACCUCUAGCUGGUCUGAGAGGAUGAUCAGCCACACUGGGACUGAGACACGGCCCAGACUCCUACGGGAGGCAGCAGUGGGGAAUAUUGCACAAUGGGCGCAAGCCUGAUGCAGCCAUGCCGCGUGUAUGAAGAAGGCCUUAGGGGUGUAAAGUACUUUCAGCGGGGAGGCGUUACCCGCAGAAGAAGCACCGGCUAACUCCGUGCCAGCAGCCGCGGUAAUUC
rnacentral:rRNA from 1 species